UACGAAGGGGGCUAGCGUUGCUCGGAAUUACUGGGCGUAAAGGGCGCGUAGGCGGUCUGCUAAGUCGAACGUGAAAUCCCCGAGCUCAACUCGGGAACUGCGUCCGAUACUGACAGGCUUGAAUCCGGGAGAGGGAUGCGGAAUUCCAGGUGUAGCGGUGAAAUGCGCAGAUAUCGGGAGGAACACCCGUAGCGAAGGCGGCACUCUGGGCCGGUACUGACGCUGAGGAGCGAAAGCGUGGGAGCAACAGG
rnacentral:rRNA from 1 species